AGGCGACGCGGCGCUCCUUCCCUCCCUCCCUCCCAGCCAGCCAGGCAGGCAGCCGAGGGAGGCUCCGACGGCGCGGGCGAGCUCGGCCCCUUCACGCCGCCGCCAGGAGCCGCCCCUGCCGCAUUCCGGAGGGACUCCUUUGCCCCCCCCAACCCCACGCAGGAAAGCGGCGUCCGCGCGCGCUCUGGCCGCGGCCUGGUCGGAACUACUUUCGGGGCAGGCGCGCAGGCACAAAGGCGGCGCCGCUCGCGCCAGUUUGCAAAAUGCUCCACAGAUGGACCCCAUUAGCUCGCCCUACGAAUCCUUUGAAACCACAGCAGUUGUAAAUGUCUUUCUGCUCUGAAAUCUCUAGUGGAAUCCGGGAUUUUGCAGGACAGGUUCCAAAAUAUCGCGUCGUGCUUUUGAAAAUGGAAGAAUCGAAUGGCGUUUGUCAUGUAUCAAAGUCUGUUUCUCCUGGAAUAAAAGUAAAAA